GACGAACGCUGGCGGCGUGCUUAACACAUGCAAGUCGAACGGAAAGGCCCAGCUUUUGUGGGGUGCUCGAGUGGCGAACGGGUGAGUAACACGUGAGUAACCUGUCCUUGACUUUGGGAUAACUUCAGGAAACUGGGGCUAAUACCGGAUAGGAGCUCCUGCUGCAUGGUGGGGGUUGGAAAGUUUCGGCGGUUGGGGAUGGACUCGCGGCUUAUCAGCUUGUUGGUGGGGUAGUGGCUUACCAAGGCUUUGACGGGUAGCCGGCCUGAGAGGGUGACCGGCCACAUUGGGACUGAGAUACGGCCCAGACUCCUACGGGAGGCAGCAGUGGGGAAUAUUGCACAAUGGGCGGAAGCCUGAUGCAGCAACGCCGCGUGCGGGAUGACGGCCUUCGGGUUGUAAACCGCUUUCGCCUGUGACGAAGCGUGAGUGACGGUAAUGGGUAAAGAAGCACCGGCUAACUACGUG
rnacentral:rRNA from 1 species